rnacentral:rRNA from 1 species
GAUGAACGCUGGCGGCGUGCCUAAUACAUGCAAGUCGAGCGAACAGACGAGGAGCUUGCUCCUCUGACGUUAGCGGCGGACGGGUGAGUAACACGUGGAUAACCUACCUAUAAGACUGGGAUAACUUCGGGAAACCGGAGCUAAUACCGGAUAAUAUAUUGAACCGCAUGGUUCAAUAGUGAAAGACGGGUUUGCUGUCACUUAUAGAUGGAUCCGCGCCGCAUUAGCUAGUUGGUAAGGUAACGGCUUACCAAGGCAACGAUGCGUAGCCGACCUGAGAGGGUGAUCGGCCACACUGGAACUGAGACACGGUCCAGACUCCUACGGGAGGCAGCAGUAGGGAAUCUUCCGCAAUGGGCGAAAGCUUGACGGAGCAACGCCGCGUGAGUGAUGAAGGUCUUCGGAUCGUAAAACUCUGUUAUUAGGGAAGAACAAAUGUGUAAGUAACUAUGCACGUCUUGACGGUACCUGAUCAGAAAGCCACGGCUAACUACGUG